rnacentral:tRNA from 1 species
CGGUCUAGCUCAAUUGGUAGAGCAACUGACUUGUAAUCAGUAGGUUGGGGGUUCAAGUCCUCUGGCCGGCA